UACGUAGGGUGCAAGCGUUGUCCGGAAUUAUUGGGCGUAAAGAGCUCGUAGGCGGUUUGUUGCGUCGGUUGUGAAAUCCCGAGGCUCAACCUCGGGUCUGCAGUCGAUACGAGCAAACUAGAGUGUUGCAGGGGAGACUGGAAUUCCUGGUGUAGCGGUGAAAUGCGCAGAUAUCAGGAGGAACACCGGUGGCGAAGGCGGGUCUCUGGGCCGAUACUGACGCUGAGGAGCGAAAGCGUGGGGAGCGAACAGG
rnacentral:rRNA from 1 species